CCUACGGGGGGCAGCAGUGAGGAAUAUUGGUCAAUGGGCGGGAGCCUGAACCAGCCAAGCCGCGUGAGGGAAGAAGGUACAGCGUAUCGUAAACCUCUUUUAUCAGGGAACAAAGGCGGGCACUAGUCCCCGGAUGAGGGUACCUGAAGAAAAAGCAUCGGCUAACUCCGUGCCAGCAGCCGCGGUAAUACGGAGGAUGCGAGCGUUAUCCGGAUUUAUUGGGUUUAAAGGGUGCGCAGGGGGCUUGUUAAGUCAGCGGUAAAAGCCUGGGGCUCAACCCAGACGAGCCGUUGAAACUGGCGGGCUGGAGUUGGAGAGAGGUAGGCGGAAUGCGCGGUGUAGCGGUGAAAUGCUUAGAUAUCGCGCAGAACCCCGAUUGCGAAGGCAGCGUACCGGCCCCACACUGACGCUGAGGCACGAGAGUGUGGGUAUCGAACAGGAUUAGAUACCCUUGUAGUC
rnacentral:rRNA from 1 species